CGGGGUAUGGCUCAGUUUGGUAGAGCGCUUGGUUCGGGACCAAGAGGCCGCUGGUUCGAAUCCAGUUACUCCGACCA
rnacentral:tRNA from 1 species